UACGUAGGAGGCAAGCGUUGUCCGGAAUCACUGGGCGUAAAGCGCGUGUAGGUGGAGCAGGAAGUCUGCUGUGAAAGCGCCUGGCUUAACCUCGAGCUGUCGGCGGAAACCAUCUGGCUAGAGUCCGGAAGAGGAGAAUGGAAUUCCCGGUGUAGCGGUGAAAUGCGCAGAUAUCGGGAAGAACACCCGUGGCGAAGGCGGUUCGCUGGGACGGUACUGACGCUGAGACGCGAAAGCGUGGGGAGCAAACAGG
rnacentral:rRNA from 1 species